CUGUCUGCCUGAAGGGCCGCGCAUGCUAGUGUACAGACGUUUCUGUGGUCGUCUGUAAUUGUAAACGAAUGUCGUAUGUUUCAGAAUCAUGCACACACUUCAACACACAAAUAUUGUUACAACUUGUCUGAUUAAUUAUUCUCCUUUGUAUACGUACGCAUCUCUCUGAUGAACGGCACCUGCACACAACAACUGAGGCCUAGGAGGUGCGCAUAGCAAGUCCGCAAAAAUAUAGUCUUUUAAAAUAUUUUCACAAUAAUUGGCAGUUUUCCAGCGAUUUUAAGAGCUUCGAGAUGCCGCGUGUUUUUUGAGCCCAAGUCGCUAGAUUAGUCGCUAGGCACUCGACACGUAUAUUUGGUCGCUGACCAGCUCUGAAAGUCGCUAGAACGGCAACAUGAAGAACGCAAGUGACAUUCCAAAAGACGAUCACAGACUAUAGACUGUUCUCGACCUGUACAUGCCGUCCCACUUGUGCACCAGUCGCCAAAGGCCCUCUGGCCGCUCCAUGGUUGGACGUCUUAGCGCCAAAGGGUUCUCAGUGAUGUUACUUGUCUGAGGCUGCGUUAUCUUUGAUUUCGAGAGAGGUGAAGAAUGGCACUAUGGUUUCGGAAGCGGCUGGUACAGCACUUUAGAGGCUGACAAAAUAAUCCGUAACAAACUUUGUAUCAUCUAGCCAUUGGUCACUCUGGUGCCUUCUUUGGUGAAGUUCCUUACUCAUACCUAGAGUGCAUUGUGCGGAAUAAAUGUUUCAUUUUGCUGG